AUGUCUAUAUUAUUGCAGCCAUGAAUAUUUGGAUUGUAUGGUAGGGAUCGAGCUCUCAUUCCCAGAAGGGCUGAAAGAGCAAUCCACAACCACUGGGAUAUUUUCAAGCUGGACUUCUGAUGUAUGGGGGUGGCUGUCUGUUUCCUUAACCACUGCUUUUAGAACAGUUUGUCUAAAGAUCGCCUGCCAUGUCUACUUAUAAUGUUUGAUAAAUGUGGACAUUCUUCCUUCCUAGUGCUUUAUACACUUCAUCUAAUGAAAAUAUUACUCUGAAUGCUGUUGUCAUGGCAAUUGACCUUGGUGAAUGGGACCCACGCAUGCUGUGGGAAUAAUCAAAGCACAGGUAAAUACUUCUUUUCAACCAUCUGGAAAUCUGUUUUAACAGCUUCAAAUCCUAAGAUUCGAAGAUCAAAAGAAACAAACAAGGCUUCGCAGUCAGAGGCGGUCCAAUCAUAAGGCGAAAUAGGCAUUUGCCUGUGGCGCCAUCGUCCCGGGGGCACCAUCGUCCUGGGAGGAGGGCACCACUCUCCACCUCCUUCUCUUUCGGGCCUUCCAGCGGCCGCGCUGGGCCUUCCGGCCAGCGUAGACCCACCUUCGCACCACGCAAGCCCACCUUUGGGGCCUUCAGAGAUUGUGAGGUCUGUAGGAACUUGGAAGCUAGCUUUCAUACCUGGAUGAUGUCGCUGAGCACCUGGACAUCGAAGUGUGCCAAGUACUGUACAUGGUAGCGUUGGAGAACAUUUUGGUGCUUCCGGACCAGAUUGCGAAGCUUCUCCAUCAGAAACAGAAUCUCAGCC